AUUGAACGCUGGCGGCAGGCCUAACACAUGCAAGUCGAGCGAGCGGCGGACGGGUGAGUAAUGUAUGGGAAACUGCCCGAGGGAGGGGGAUAACUACUGGAAACGGUAGCUAAUACCGCAUACCAUCAGAUGUGCCCAGAUGGGAUUAGCGAGUAGGUGGGGUGACGGCGCACCUAGGCGACGAACCCUAGCUGGUCUGAGAGGAUGACCAGGCACACUGGAACGGUGACACGGGCCAGACUCCUACGGGAGGCAGCAGUGGGGAAGAUUGCACAAUGGGCGCAAUCCUGAUGCAGCCAUGCCGCGUGUGUGAAGAAGGCCUUCGGGUUGGAAAGCACUUUCAGCGGGGAGGCGUUACCCGCAGAAGAAGCACCGGCUAACUCCGUGCCAGCAGCCGCGGUAAUUC
rnacentral:rRNA from 1 species